rnacentral:rRNA from 1 species
AGAGAGAGACAUGCGCGCAUAUCAAUAAGCGGAGGAAAAGAAACUAACAAGGAUUCCCUUAGUAACGGCGAGUGAAGCGGGAAGAGCUCAAAUUUGAAAUCUUCAAGGUUUUACCUUGACGAAUUGUAGUUUAAAGAAGUGUUUUCUGCUGAAGUUUUGGUAAAAGUUCUUUGGAAUAGGACAUCAUAGAGGGUGAGAAUCCCGUAUUUGACCAUUAUUUUCAGCUUUGUGAUACACUUUCAAAGAGUCGGAUUGUUUGGGAAUGCAGUCCAAAAUGGGUGGUAAAUUUCAUCUAAAGCUAAAUAUUGGCGAGAGACCGAUAGCGAACAAGUACCGUGAGGGAAAGAUGAAAAGAACUUUGAAAAGAGAGUUAAACAGUACGUGAAAUUGUCAAAAGGGAAGCGUUUGACACCAGUGUUGUUUUCUCGAAAAUCAAUUAAAAAAUGGCUAGAUUUUGUAUGUUGUAUUGACCUUUAUCAAGCUUCACUGCUACAUCUUUUCGUGUCUUUUUUAAUGCACUUUUCGUUUAACAAGUCAACAUCAGUUUCUUUUGUUGUAAAAGGGUCAUUGGAAGGUGGCUUUCUUUUCGGAGAAAGUGUUUAUAGCCUUUGGCCUCUGCAAUCGAAGAGACUGAGGUCUGCAGCGUAGACUCUUCGGGGUUAGAUACAUUUGUGCUAAGUUAUAGCUUUUUAUAGACAACUUGUUGACUAUAAUUAGUCUUGUAGCUUACUCGCUUAUGCUAUUUUACCUACGCUUAGGAUGUUGAAGUCAUCGUAUCGCGC